CUACUUUAUUUGGUCAUCCAUAAGAAGCAACUCCUCAUUCAUGCAAACUUUAUAAUGAAAUUGUAGCAAUUCAGUCACAGUCACAUCUCCAGGCUUCAACAUUGAAUUUUGAAUGCAUCCUGAACCGCUGUGAUGCCUUUGAAAAUAAUGCCUUCUUUUUUCCUUUUUCCUCCUCUUUCCUCUCUUCACAGAUAGGUAGUUGUGUCUCUGUACUACAGGACACUCCCAUCAGAUGCUUGCCAUGGAAACUAUCUUCAAACACAAUUUUACAUGCAAGUACAAUGAGAGAAAAUAGAUAAAUUCUAACUAGCCUGUCUUUAUCUUUAGUAGCUAUAGGGAAGGCAAUCGCUAAUCACUGGAGGCUAAGGAAAGCUGGUGGUGUAAUCCAGUUAAAUCACAGAGACCUGAGACACAGAGAAGCCAAUAGUGUAAGACCCAGUACAAGGAAAAAGGCUUCAAAAUCAGAAAUGCUGAUGGUUUAGGGUUUCAAUUCUCAGGGGAUUGCUUUCAAAUUUUCCCUGUUCAGCAUAAUGUUGGCUGUGGGUUUGUCAUAGAUGGCUUUUAUUACCUUAAAGUAUGUCCCUUCUAUGCCAAUUUUGCUGAGG
rnacentral:lncRNA from 1 species